rnacentral:rRNA from 1 species
AGAGCGAACGCUGGCGGCAGGCCUAAUACAUGCAAGUCGAACGGAUCCUUCGGGAUUAGUGGCGGACGGGUGAGUAACACGUGGGAACGUACCCUUUGGUUCGGAACAACUCAGGGAAACUUGAGCUAAUACCGAAUGUGCCCUUCGGGGAAAAGAUUUAUCGCCAUUGGAGCGGCCCGCGUCUGAUUAGCUAGUUGGUAGGGUAAAGGCCUACCAAGGCUACGAUCAGUAGCUGGUCUGAGAGGAUGAUCAGCCACACUGGGACUGAGACACGGCCCAGACUCCUACGGGAGGCAGCAGUAGGGAAUCUUGCGCAAUGGGCGAAAGCCUGACGCAGCCAUGCCGCGUGAAUGAUGAAGGUCUUAGGAUUGUAAAAUUCUUUCAGCGGGACGAUAAUGACGGUACCGCAGAAGAAGCCCCGGACUAACUUCGUGCCAGCAGCCGC